rnacentral:rRNA from 1 species
AGUGAACGCUGGCGGUAGGCCUAACACAUGCAAGUCGAACGGCAGCACAGUAAGAGCUUGCUCUUACGGGUGGCGAGUGGCGGACGGGUGAGGAAUACAUCGGAAUCUACUUUUUCGUGGGGGAUAACGUAGGGAAACUUACGCUAAUACCGCAUACGACCUACGGGUGAAAGCAGGGGAUCUUCGGACCUUGCGCGAUUGAAUGCGCCGAUGUCGGAUUAGCUAGUUGGCGGGGUAAAGGCCCACCAAGGCGACGAUCCGUAGCUGGUCUGAGAGGAUGAUCAGCCACACUGGAACUGAGACACGGUCCAGACUCCUACGGGAGGCAGCAGUGGGGAAUAUUGGACAAUGGGCGCAAGCCUGAUACAGCCAUACCGCGUGGGUGAAGAAGGCCUUCGGGUUGUAAAGCCCUUUUGUUGGGAAAGAAAAGCAGCAGGUUAAUACCCCGCUGUUCUGACGGUACCCAAAGAAUAAGCACCGGCUAACUUCGUG